GAGUUUGAUCAUGGCUCAGAUUGAACGCUGGCGGCAGGCCUAACACAUGCAAGUCGAGCGGUAGAGAGAAGCUUGCUUCUCUUGAGAGCGGCGGACGGGUGAGUAAUGCCUAGGAAUCUGCCUGGUAGUGGGGGAUAACGCUCGGAAACGGACGCUAAUACCGCAUACGUCCUACGGGAGAAAGCAGGGGACCUUCGGGCCUUGCGCUAUCAGAUGAGCCUAGGUCGGAUUAGCUAGUUGGUGAGGUAAUGGCUCACCAAGGCGACGAUCCGUAACUGGUCUGAGAGGAUGAUCAGUCACACUGGAACUGAGACACGGUCCAGACUCCUACGGGAGGCAGCAGUGGGGAAUAUUGGACAAUGGGCGAAAGCCUGAUCCAGCCAUGCCGCGUGUGUGAAGAAGGUCUUCGGAUUGUAAAGCACUUUAAGUUGGAGGAAGGGCAGUAAAUUAAUACUUUGCUGUUUUGACGUUACCGACAGAAUAAGCACCGGCUAACUCUGUG
rnacentral:rRNA from 1 species